rnacentral:rRNA from 1 species
AAUAGAUACCCUGGUAGUCCACGCCGUAAACGAUGAGUGCUAGGUGUUAGGGGGUUUCCACCCCUUAGUGCUGCAGCUAACGCAUUAAGCACUCCGCCUGGGGAGUACGGUCGCAAGACUGAAACUCAAAGGAAUUGACGGGGGCCCGCACAAGCGGUGGAGCAUGUGGUUUAAUUCGAAGCAACGCGAAGAACCUUACCAGGUCUUGACACCCCGCUGACCGCCAUGGAGACAUGGCUUUCCCUUCGGGGACAGCGGUGACAGGUGGUGCAUGGUUGUCGUCAGCUCGUGUCGUGAGAUGUUGGGUUAAGUCCCGCAACGAGCGCAACCCUUGUCCUUAGUUGCCAUCAUUCAGUUGGGCACUCUAAGGAGACUGCCGUACAAAUACGGAGGAAGGUGGGGAUGACGUCAAAUCAUCAUGCCCCUUAUGACCUGGGCUACACACGUGCUACAAUGGGCAGUACAAAGGGCUGCAAACCCGCGAGGGGGAGCGAAUCCCAAAAAGCUGCUCUCAGUUCGGAUUGCAGG